rnacentral:tRNA from 1 species
UCCCUGGUGGCCUAAUGGUUAAGGAUCCAGCAUUGUCAGUGCUGUAGCUUGGGUUCGAUCCCUGGCCCAGGAA